rnacentral:lncRNA from 1 species
UGACUAUUUUCGGUCAGUUUUGGCUAGUUUCGGCCAGUUUUAUAUCCAUCCCUGUAAAAAAAAUACUUUAGAGGGUAUCGGUUGGCCGAAAAAAGUUAAAAAAAUAAAAACUUACCGACGGUAAAAUUUUUCGGUGUGGUGGCUCCCCCGACUCACAUUUGUAGCUGAGUGUUUUUCUUUGGUCAACUUGUUAGAUAACAUAAUGGUGAAUAUAGUGGUAGAAAAAUAACACAAAAUGAGAAUCGGGAAUAAGCUCAUCGAAUUGAUUUUUAGUUUUUCCCGUGGCGCCGCCGCU